rnacentral:tRNA from 1 species
CAAUCAAUGGGGUAGUGGUAACCUGGGUCGUUGCCAUUGACGUGCUCCUCGAGGUACCUCGAAUACCUCGACCCGCCGGGGGUUCGAUUCUCUCUUGGUGGA